GUAGGUGGCAAGCGUUGUCCGGAAUUAUUGGGCGUAAAGCGCGCGCAGGCGGUUCUUUAAGUCUGAUGUGAAAGCCCACGGCUCAACCGUGGAGGGUCAUUGGAAACUGGAGAACUUGAGUACAGAAGAGGAAAGCGGAAUUCCACGUGUAGCGGUGAAAUGCGUAGAGAUGUAGAGGAACACCAGUGGCGAAGGCGGCUUUCUGGUCUGUAACUGACGCUGAGGCGCGAAAGCGUGGGGGAGCAAACAGGAUUAGAUACCCUGGUAGUCCACGCCGUAAACGAUGAGUGCUAGGUGUUAGGGGGUUUCCGCCCCUUAGUGCUGCAGCUAACGCAUUAAGCACUCCGCCUGGGAGUACGGCCGCAAGGCUG
rnacentral:rRNA from 1 species